rnacentral:rRNA from 1 species
UCAGGAUGAACGCUGGCGGCGUGUUUAAGGCAUGCAAGUCGAACGAAUGCAUUGUCCGCAAGGAUGGUGCGUUAGUGGCGAACGGGUGCGUAACACAUUGGCAACCUGCCCCCAUCUCGGUCAUAACCCGGAGAAAUCUGGGCUAAGAGCCGAUAGUCUCAUCACACAUAAGUGUGAUGCGUAAAAGUCCGCUGGAUGGGGAGGGGCCUAUGGUCCAUCAGCUAGUUGGCGGGGUAAUGGCCCACCAAGGCUUCGACGGAUAGCGGGUGUGAGAGCACGACCCGCCUCACUGGGACUGAGACACUGCCCAGACUCCUACGGGAGGCUGCAGUCGAGAAUAUUCCCCAAUGCGCGAAAGCGUGAGGGAGCGACGCCGCGUGGAGGAUGAAGGCCUUCGGGUCGUAAACUCCUUUUCUUCGGGACGAACACGUGACGGUACCGAAGGAAGAAGAGGUUCCUAACUCUGUGCCAGCAGGAGCGGUAAUACAGAGACCUCGAACGUUAUCCGGAUUUACUGGGCGUAAAGGGUCCGUAGGUGGUUCGUCAUGUCUCGCGUUAAAUCUUCUCGCUCAACGAGGAGGCCGCGCGAGAAACGGGCGAACUCGAGGCCGGGAGAGGCAUGCGGAAUUGCCGGUGUAGCAGUAAAAUGCGUUGAGAUCGGCAAGAACACCAAAGGCGAAGGCAGCAUGCUGGAACGGUCCUGACACUGAGGGACGAAAGCGUGGGAAGCAAAACGGAUUAGAUACCCGUGUAGUCCACGCUGUAAACGAUGGGUACUAGGCAUUGACAGUAUCGACCCUGUCAGUGUCGUCAACAUAAGCUAACGCGUUAAGUACCCCGCCUGGGGAGUACGGUCGCAAGACUAAAACUCAAAGGAAUUGACGGGAGCCCGCACAAGCGGUGGAGCAUGUGGUUCAAUUCGACACUGAACGAGGAACCUUACCAAGACUUGACAUGGCGCUGCAAGCCCCAGAAAUGGGGCCGCCUUCGAGGGUGCGUCACAGGUGCUGCAUGGUUGUCGUCAGCUCGUGCUGUGGAGUGUCUGGUUCAGUCCUCCAACGAGCGCAACCCCUAUGUCGUGUUCUAUUGACGCGACAGACUGCGGCCGUAAGGCCGAGGAAGGUGGGGACGACGUCAAAUCAGCAUGGCCCUUAUGUCUUGGGCUACACACGUGCUACAAUGGCCGGUACAAAGGGGCGCGAAACCACAAGGUGGAGCAAAUCCCAUCAAAACCGGCCUCAGUUCAGAUUGGGGUCUGCAACUCGACCCCAUGAAGAAGGAAUCGCUAGUAAUCAUGAAUCAGCCUCGUCAUGGUGAAUACGUUCUCGGGCUUUGUACACACUGCCCGUCAAGUCAAGAGAGUCGGAAAUACCCGAAGUGCGUCUUUGGCGUACGAAGGUAGGGCCGAUGAUAGGGGC